AUGAACAUGCUUAAAUUGUUUGUCUACUUUUUUUUCACUGUGUUCUUAAUAAAAUGGGAAAUGGUUAACUCAGUAAACUUAAGUCAAAAAGAAAGUAAAUUCCGUAAUUAUUCCAACAUAGUUAACUUAAACAUAUCAUUAUUUAGAGAAAAAAAAAAGAAAAACAGAUUACCACUUUAUCAUAAAAAUUGUAGCAUAAACGUAUGCACAUAUUACACACAAUAUAGUAAUAAUUGUAUUAAUAAAAAAAUAAAAAAGAGUAAGCUAAAUAGAAAAAAAAAUAGAUCUGACAAUUUUAUGAACAUUUUGACUAGUCCAAAAAAAAAAAAAAAAAUAUCUGACAAUUUUAUGAACACUUUGGCUAGUUCACAAAAAAAAAAAAAAAAAAAAUUUUAUUACAUUUUUAUGAACAAUUUGGUAAGGUUUACCGAUCAAAUAAAUUAUACUACCAACACAUUUAGUAAAUUAAAAAAAACAGGGAAAAAAAUAGAUAAGUGCAUACUAAUAAAAAAAAAAAAAAAAAAUGUAAACCAUUGCUAUUACAAUAUUUAUGAAAAUGAAGAUUCAUUAGAUCCUGAAUUACAUGAAAGUUUAAGUGGGUGUAUUGAAAAUGAUAUUAAAGAUAGUUAUUUUGACUCUUUAAUAGAUUCUAGUGAUAAUGAUUAUAAUAUUGAUGUAGAAGAUGUUGAUAAGAAUGAUUUGAGUGAAGAAACGAAAAGAAAAAAAUAUUAUACAUAUGGUAGAAAAUUUAUAGAUAAAGAUUUUAAUUCUGAGAAUGUGAAUAAAUACUAUCAACAUUUACCUAUAUAUAAUGAAAAUGACAAUGUUGGAUCUGUUUCAAAUUUUAAAAAAAUAUAUGAAUCUAAUAAAAUUGAGAAUUUAGAAAGAAAUAUAAGAGAAGAGGAUUUACAUUACCCUUCUGUUCCAAUUAAUUGGAAAGUAUAUGUUUGUUUAUUUUUUGAUAAAAAAUAUAAUUAUGAGAAUGAAAAUGAUAAGAGAAUAUAUGAUCGUUUUAAUAUAGGUAUUAGACAUAAAUAUGUGUUAGAAUUUUUAUCUUGGGUAAGAUUAUCAACCAGAAUAUAUCAAAAUACUUCAAAAAUAUUAAUGUUAUUUAAUUUAAAACGAAAUAAUAACAUAUAUGGUAAUUUACUUUUUUUUACUUCUGUAAAUUUACAUUAUGCUAAUAUGUUUAUGAAAUCAAAUCCAUAUGUACGAUUAGGUUUAUGUGAAGAAUUAUAUUUAUAUUCUUAUGAAAGUAAUAAUGAUCAUUUUUUAAUAGGAAAAUUCCCAAAUUUAUUUUUACAAAAAAAUUAUCUGUUUAUAAAAUUUUUUGAUCCAAAAAAACUAAAAGAAAUAAACAGUUUAUAUGAAAAGCAUAUGCGAUUUUAUAUAAGAUCUGAUAUGGUUUUUAAAUUAGGUGUUUUAAAGGUUGUGGCUAAAGAUACAUUAAGAGAUUUGUUUUUGUCGACAUAUCAGUAUUUACCUAUGACUGAGAAACAGACCGAAAACGUAAUAACAAAAUUUAAUGAAGAAUUUAAUGUUCUUGAUACAUGCUCAAAUGUUGGGGUUGAUAAAAAUGGUCAAAUAAUAAAAAUAGAGCACAUGCAGGGUGGUGGUGAUAAUAGUAGUGAUAGUAGCAACCGUAGCAACCGUAGUGAUAGUAAGAAUAAUUCUUUUGAUGAACAGAAAAAUGGACCAUUUAAUUAUAAUUGCUUAGCUGAAUUAUGUAUAGUUAAUUGUACAGAUGAAGAGGAGGCCCGUGAAUUUCUUCAUAGAGACCCUUACACACAAUGUUGCUUUUUUGACAGUAUUUUUUUUUCAAAUGUACAUGAAGUUGCCCCACAUAUACAAUAUUCACAAGCUUAUAUGCCAAAAUUAAAAAGUAAAUUAAAUUAUAAAUAUGAAUUAGAUACAAAUUUAAAUCCAACACAUUGUUUAGAACAUAAACCUGAAUAUUUAGAAAAUAAAACUGUACCAGAAAAAGGUAUUGCAAAUCAUGAGAAAAUAAAUAUUGAUAUACUUGAUACAUUUAUUAAAUUAAAAUAUACAAAUAAGGAAAUUAGUUUAGCUGACUCUGAAAUAAAAAAUAACACUGAAGAAGAAUGUAGUGUACAUAAGAAAAAUUUUAUAAACAAGAUAAAAUGGUUAGAUGAGAAGGCAAAUAAUUUACUAGUGAGUGAUCAAAAUAGUGAAAAAUUUAUUACCCAUAAAGGUAAUAAUAGAAUUAGUGAUACACUUUUAGAAUCUUCAGUUAUAAAACAAAAUGGUGCUAAUACAAAACUAUACGGUACAAAUGGGUGUAGUGGGAGUAGUGGGAGUAGUGGGAGUAGUGGGAGUAAUGGGAGUUGUGGGAGUAGUGAGAGUAGUGGGUAUAGAGGGAGUAAUGGGAGUAGUGGAAACGGUAGGUCUCUAAAAAAAAAGUAUAAAAUAAAAAUUGUUGAUUAUAACAACGAUUAUAUAAAUUACAUAUGUAAUGUUAAACAAAAUAAAAUAUUAUAUGUAAAAAAAGGAGAAGAUAAUAAUAGUAAUGAUAAUAUAACAUCGGAAAAUAUAUAUGACAUAUUAAAUAAAGAUAUGAAAGAUCCCAAUAUUAAUAAACAAAAAGAUAUAAUAUUAAUUGAUAAUACAUUACAAUUUUUUGAUCAUAUUUUUUUUAAAGAUUAUUUAUCAAAUUAUGUAUAUAUUUCAUUACCUCCUGGUGAAUUUAUUGAAAAUGCUUAUUCUAUUAAAGACGAAAAAAAUUACGACUUCACAACCUUUAACAAUUCAUUACCAAAUCAAGACGAUUUUUUAAAAAAACAUAUGUAUCAACCAAUAUAUUUAAAAGGAAUAUGGUUAAAAAAAGAACAAUCCAAAAUUUUAUAUUAUGAUAAACAAAAUAAUGCUUUACUAUUUGGUACAGGAAUAGAUAAAACAUUUUCAUGGAAUAAAAAAGUUCCAACUACUAUUAUGAAAAGAGCACUAAUAAAUAUGGAAAUAGCAAUGGAAAAAAUAAGAAAAGGUAGCUCAAUAAUAAAUGAAGAUAUGACUAUUCAUAAAGAAAGUGAUCGAACAAUAAAGGAGUAUACAGAUCAGUAUACUUCGUUACAGUUACGAUUUUCAUCCAUUCACAAUCAGUUAAAUAAUUCGGAAGGAUAUAAAGAUAUAAAACCACCUCCCGGUAUUGACAAUAUAAUAUACACAUUUUUGUAA
ensembl:lncRNA